GCCUGGGUGGCACAGUGGUUGAGCGUCUGCCUUCGGCUCAGGGCGUGAUCCCGGCGUUAUGGGUUCGAGUCCCACAUCAGGCU
rnacentral:tRNA from 1 species